CAGCAGCCGCGGUAAUACGUAGGGUGCAAGCGUUAAUCGGAAUUACUGGGCGUAAAGCGUGCGCAGGCGGUUGCGCAAGACCGAUGUGAAAUCCCCGGGCUUAACCUGGGAAUGGCAUUGGUGACUGUACGGCUAGAGUGUGUCAGAGGGGGGUAGAAUUCCACGUGUAGCAGUGAAAUGCGUAGAGAUGUGGAGGAAUACCGAUGGCGAAGGCAGCCCCCUGGGAUAACACUGACGCUCAUGCACGAAAGCGUGGGGAGCAAACAGGAUUAGAUACCCUGGUAGUCCACGCCCUAAACGAUGUCUACUAGUUGUCGGGUCUUCAUUGACUUGGUAACGCAGCUAACGCGUGAAGUAGACCGCCUGGGGAGUACGGUCGCAAGAUUAAAACUCAAAGGAAUUGACGG
rnacentral:rRNA from 1 species